rnacentral:rRNA from 2 species
AGAGUUUGAUCAUGGCUCAGAACGAACGCUGGCGGCAGGCUUAACACAUGCAAGUCGAACGCACCGCAAGGUGAGUGGCAGACGGGUGAGUAACGCGUGGGAACGUGCCCUUCAGUUCGGGAUAACCCAGGGAAACUUGGGCUAAUACCGGAUACGUGCGAGAGCAGAAAGAUUCAUCGCUGAAGGAUCGGCCCGCGUCUGAUUAGCUAGUUGGUAGGGUAAUGGCCUACCAAGGCGACGAUCAGUAGCUGGUCUGAGAGGAUGAUCAGCCACAUUGGGACUGAGACACGGCCCAAACUCCUACGGGAGGCAGCAGUGGGGAAUAUUGGACAAUGGGCGCAAGCCUGAUCCAGCCAUGCCGCGUGAGUGAUGAAGGCCUUAGGGUUGUAAAGCUCUUUCGUCCGGGACGAUAAUGACGGUACCGGAAGAAGAAGCCCCGGCUAACUUCGUGCCAGCAGCCGCGGUAAUACGAAGGGGGCUAGCGUUGUUCGGAAUCACUGGGCGUAAAGGGCGCGUAGGCGGCCUGAUAAGUCGGGGGUGAAAGCCUGUGGCUCAACCACAGAAUUGCCUUCGAUACUGUCGGGCUUGAGACCGGAAGAGGUAAGUGGAACUGCGAGUGUAGAGGUGAAAUUCGUAGAUAUUCGCAAGAACACCAGUGGCGAAGGCGGCUUACUGGUCCGGUUCUGACGCUGAGGCGCGAAAGCGUGGGGAGCAAACAGGAUUAGAUACCCCCGUAGUCC